rnacentral:rRNA from 1 species
UACGGGGGGAGCAAGCGUUGUUCGGAUUUACUGGGCGUAAAGGGCGCGUAGGCGGUCAGCACAAGUCAGUUGUGAAAUCUCCGGGCUUAACUCGGAAAGGUCAACUGAUACUGUGCGACUAGAGUGCAGAAGGGGGCAACUGGAAUUCUCGGUGUAGCGGUGAAAUGCGUAGAUAUCGAGAGGAACACCUGCGGCGAAGGCGGGUUGCUGGGCUGACACUGACGCUGAUGCGCGAAAGCCAGGGGAGGCGAACGGG